GUACUGAUGAAGAGUCCAAAGCUAGGACGAAAUGGCUGUCCAGUAU
rnacentral:hammerhead_ribozyme from 1 species